UACGUAGGGUGCAAGCGUUGUCCGGAAUCAUUGGGCGUAAAGCGCGUGUAGGCGGCCAGGUAAGUCCGUUCUGAAAGCCCGGGGCUCAACCCCGGGAGGCGGAUGGAUACUGCUUGGCUCGAGUCCGGAAGAGGCGAGUGGAAUUCCCGGUGUAGCGGUGAAAUGCGCAGAUAUCGGGAGGAACACCAAUGGCGAAGGCAGCUCGCUGGGACGGUACUGACGCUGAAGCACGAAAGCGUGGGGAGCAAACAGG
rnacentral:rRNA from 1 species